rnacentral:rRNA from 1 species
AUCUGCCCUGCACUUUGGGAUAAGCCUGGGAAACUGGGUCUAAUACCGAAUAUGACCACGCUCUUCAUGGGGUGUGGUGGAAAGCUUUUGCGGUGUGGGAUGGGCCCGCGGCCUAUCAGCUUGUUGGUGGGGUAAUGGCCUACCAAGGCGACGACGGGUAGCCGGCCUGAGAGGGUGACCGGCCACACUGGGACUGAGAUACGGCCCAGACUCCUACGGGAGGCAGCAGUGGGGAAUAUUGCACAAUGGGCGCAAGCCUGAUGCAGCGACGCCGCGUGAGGGAUGACGGCCUUCGGGUUGUAAACCUCUUUCACCAGGGACGAAGCGCAAGUGACGGUACCUGGAGAAGAAGCACCGGCCAACUACGUGCCAGCAGCCGCGGUAAUACGUAGGGUGCGAGCGUUGUCCGGAAUUACUGGGCGUAAAGAGCUCGUAGGUGGUUUGUCGCGUUGUUCGUGAAAACUCACAGCUUAACUGUGGGCGUGCGGGCGAUACGGGCAGACUAGAGUACUGCAGGGGAGACUGGAAUUCCUGGUGUAGCGGUGGAAUGCGCAGAUAUCAGGAGGAACACCGGUGGCGAAGGCGGGUNCUGCUGGGCAGUAACUGACGCUN